CGGAGGGUGCAAGCGUUAUCCGGAUUCACUGGGUUUAAAGGGUGCGUAGGUGGGCAGGUAAGUCAGUGGUGAAAUCUCCGGGCUUAACCCGGAAACUGCCAUUGAUACUAUCUGUCUUGAAUACCCUGGAGGUGAGCGGAAUAUGUCAUGUAGCGGUGAAAUGCUUAGAUAUGACAUAGAACACCCAUUGCGAAGGCAACUCACUACGGGAAUAUUGACACUGAGGCACGAAAGCGUGGGGAUCAAACAGGAUUAGAUACCCUGGUAGUCCACGCCUAACUAUGGAUACUCGACAUCAGCGAUAAACUAGUUGGUGUCUGAGCGAAAGACAUUAAGUAUCCACCUGGAAGUACGAUCGCAAGAUU
rnacentral:rRNA from 1 species